rnacentral:rRNA from 1 species
UACAGAGGGGGCAAGCGUUGUUCGGAAUUACUGGGCGUAAAGGGCGCGUAGGCGGCCUCUUAAGUCGAACGUGAAAUCCCCGGGCUCAACCCGGGAACUGCGUCCGAUACUGGGGGGCUUGAAUCCGGGAGAGGGAUGUGGAAUUCCAGGUGUAGCGGUGAAAUGCGUAGAUAUCUGGAAGAACACCCGUGGCGAAGGCGGCUCUCUGGGACGGUACUGACGCUGAGACGCGAAAGCGUGGGGAGCGAACAGG